GGAUGAACGUUGGCGGCGUGCCUAAUACAUGCAAGUCGAACGAAGACUGUAGUAAUACUGUCUUAGUGGCGAACGGGUGAGUAACGCGUGGGUGACCUGCCCCGAAGUGUGGGAUAACAGUCCGAAAGGAUUGCUAAUACUGCAUAAUAUCCAAGAGAUUAGAUGCUUUUGGAUUAAAGGAGUAAUUCGCUUCGGGAGGGGCCCGCGUCCCAUCAGCUAGUUGGUAAGGUAAUGGCUUACCAAGGCGAUGACGGGUAGGGGACCUGAGAGGGUGGCCCCCCACAAUGGAACUGAAACACGGUCCAUACACCUACGGGUGGCAGCAGUAGGGAAUAUUAGUAAUGGGCGAAAGCCUGAACUAGCAACGCCGCGUGUGCGAAGAAGGCCUUCGGGUUGUAAAGCACUUUUUGAGAGGAUGAGGAAGGACGGUACUCUCAGAAUAAGUCUCGGCUAACUACGUGCCAGCAGCCGCGGUAACACGUAGGAGGCAAACGUUAUCCGGAUUUACUGGGCGUAAAGCGCGUGUAGGUGGUUUGGUAAGUAGGGCGUGAAAGCUCCUGGCUCAACUGGGAGAGGACGUUCUAAACUGCCAAGCUUGAGGAUGGUAGAGGGAGGUGGAAUUCCGGGUGUAGCGGUGGAAUGCGCAGAUAUCCGGAGGAACACCAGUGGCGAAGGCGGCCUCCUGGACCACUCCUGACACUCAGACGCGAAAGCUAGGGUAGCAAACGGGAUUAGAGACCCCGGUAGUCCUAGCCCUAAACGAUGUAGACUUGGCGUCGGUGGUUUAAUCGCCAUCGGUGUCGUAGCUAACGCGUUAAGUCUACCGCCUGGGGACUACGGCCGCAAGGUUAAAACUCAAAGGAAUUGACGGGUCCCCGCACAAGCAGCGGAACAUGUGGUUUAAUUCGAUGAUACGCGAGGAACCUUACCUGGGCUUAAAUGUAGAGUGCAUUUCACCGAAAGGUGGAUUUUCUUCGGAACUCUCUGCAAGGUGCUGCAUGGUUGUCGUCAGCUCGUGCCGUGAGGUGUCGGGUUAAGUCCCAUAACGAGCGCAACCCCUAUCGUUAGUUGCCAGCGGGUAAUGCCGGGAACUCUAGCGAAACUGCCGGUGUAAACCGUGAGGAAGGUGGGGAUGACGUCAAAUCAGCACGGCCCUUAUGUCCAGGGCGACACACGUGUUACAAUGGCCGGUACAAAGGGCAGCUACCUGGCGACAGGAUGCCAAUCUUUAAAACCGGUCUCAGUUCGGAUCGGAGUCUGCAACCCGACUCCGUAAAGUUGGAUUCGCUAGUAAUCGCGCAUCAGCCACGGCGCGGUGAAUACGUUCCCGGGCCU
rnacentral:rRNA from 1 species